rnacentral:rRNA from 1 species
UACGUAGGGUGCGAGCGUUAAUCGGAAUUACUGGGCGUAAAGCGUGCGCAGGCGGCGCGUUAAGACAGGUGUGAAAGCCCCGAGCUUAACUUGGGAAUUGCGCUUGUGACUGGCGGGCUGGAGUGUGGCAGAGGGAGGUGGAAUUCCACGUGUAGCAGUGAAAUGCGUAGAGAUGUGGAGGAACACCGAUGGCGAAGGCAGCCUUCUGGCCUAAUACUGACGCUGAGGUGCGAAAGCAUGGGGAGCAAACAGG